AAUCUUUCCAAUGCAAGACUACCUGAAGGAAUAGAUUUAUUUGCCAUGGGUGAAUCAUUCUUGGUUUCGGAAGCAGAAAUUCAGUAUGUAAACUCUCCGCACGAACUAUCUUCUGAAAGUUUAUGAUUGUCCAAUUUGGAAUAUGUGACUGACUUUCCGAGUCAACCAUCAUAGCAGUUGUUAAAACAUCUUGAUCAGCCAAGUCCAACUCCUCCACCAUUUCACUAGCAACAGCCAUUGCUGUAUCUACCGCAAUAUCAAAGGGGAAGUGGAUAUUGCGGAUAUG
rnacentral:misc_RNA from 1 species